GCAUGCAGUCCGCGUGUUUUACUCUCAUUUUUCCGAUUUUUCCGGCGCCAUUAAUGGAAUGAAAUUCCGUCGCGAAAAUAACUAGGAAAGUGAGCGUUUUGAUAGUUUAGUGGUGCGAUUUGUCUGCAAGACGGCCGCUGAGGUGUCCACAGGUGAUUUUUCUUCUACUCCUCCGAAUGCGGCCAAGAAAAAUGCAGCAGAAGACACAUCAACGGAAUUGCUCGUACGUACGCGCCCCAACGGAUGCUGUCAUCUUCCUGGGGAAUCAGGAAUCCAGCCGAAAUUUGUAUUAUGCCCAUUCCGAGGCCUCAAGAACAUCUUGCCGUAUGGUUCCGGCGAACAGAAUCCGCUACAACACGAGCUGUUCCAAAAGUUCUAGCACACCAGCCGGACAAAGACCCGCUGUUCAGCGCUCAGGCUGCCGAAGGAAACCGAACCGAGAAUCAGGAACCACCGAAGGUAUACGGAUUUGAUUCUACAUGGGUUGUCGCGAGACGCCAGCUGCUUCGGUGUGUUGGAUCAGCACGCAAUACUUGAACGGGCUUUGCAGAGCACAUGUGAAUCAUUCCGCUGCGGUUCGUCGUAUUUAUCUCCUGAAACAUCCCAACCGUUAUACUUCAUCAGUCUGAUAAUGCAAUAAAAAAUGAAAUAAAUUAUUUCAAGAUGAUACGUACAAUAAAAAAUUGUAAUUCAUAUUUAA